rnacentral:rRNA from 1 species
UACAGAGGGUGCAAGCGUUGCUCGGAAUCAUUGGGCGUAAAGGGCAAGUAGGUGGUCUCAUUUGUCUAGGGUGAAAUCCUUGAGCUUAACUCAAGAAGUGCCCUAGAAACGGUGAGACUCGAGUUCUGGAGAGGGUCGUGGAAUUCCCGGUGUAGCGGUGAAAUGCGUAGAGAUCGGGAGGAACACCAGUGGCGAAGGCGGGUCUCUGGACAGUUCCUGACACUGAGGCACGAAGGCCAGGGAAGCAAACGGG